UUCACCUUCCCAAGGAGAGACCUCCCAGAAGAAAGUUUUCUUUAGCUGCAUUUCAAGGCUUACGUGAUUAGAAUAUUUAUUGGAUUUUUUCAUCCGUAUUACUAUUUAUAGAACUAAUGGAGUAAAAAGAUGGUGGUCACACCUUCAUAAAAAAUUUGCCCCCAGGUUGCAGCUGUUCUGUAAUUUCAUAUGGGCUAUUGUUUUCUAAAUCAAAUAUUGAUUGCACAUCUCUGUACCAGGGACUAGAUCUAAGGAUCAGGAAUAAGAGUGAAGAUCAAGACAGACAUUUAAGUGC
rnacentral:lncRNA from 1 species